rnacentral:rRNA from 1 species
AGAGAUUAAGACCGCAUAACAUUAUGAUAUGGCAUCGUAUUAUAAUCAAAUAUUUAUAGGAUCAAGAUGGGCAUGCGCAACAUUAGCUAGUUGGUGUGGUAACGGCAUACCAAGGCGACGAUGUUUAGGGGAUCUGAGAGGAUGACCCCCCACACUGGUACUGAGACACGGACCAGACUCCUACGGGAGGCAGCAGUAAGGAAUAUUGGUCAAUGGACGGAAGUCUGAACCAGCCAUGCCGCGUGCAGGAAGACGGCCCUACGGGUUGUAAACUGCUUUUGCAGGGGAAUAAACCUCGAUACGUGUAUCGAGUUGAAUGUACCUUGAGAAUAAGGAUCGGCUAACUCCGUGCCAGCAGCCGCGGUAAUACGGAGGAUCCAAGCGUUAUCCGGAUUUAUUGGGUUUAAAGGGUGCGUAGGCGGCUUUUUAAGUCAGGGGUGAAAGACGGUAGCUCAACUAUCGCAGUGCCCUUGAUACUGAAGAGCUUGAAUGUACUUGAGGUAGGCGGAAUGUGACAAGUAGCGGUGAAAUGCAUAGAUAUGUCACAGAACACCAAUUGCGAAGGCAGCUUACUAAAGUAUGAUUGACGCUGAGGCACGAAAGCGUGGGGAUCAAACAGGAUUAGAUACCCUGGUAGUCCACGCCCUAAACGAUGAACACUCGAUGUUGGCGAUAUACGGUCAGCGUCUAAGCGAAAGCGUUAAGUGUUCCACCUGGGGAGUACGCCCGCAAGGGUGAAACUCAAAGGAAUUGACGGGGGCCCGCACAAGCGGAGGAGCAUGUGGUUUAAUUCGAUGAUACGCGAGGAACCUUACCCGGGCUUGAAAGUUAGUGAAUGUGACAGAGACGUCACAGUUCUUCGGAACACGAAACUAGGUGCUGCAUGGCUGUCGUCAGCUCGUGCCGUGAGGUGUUGGGUUAAGUCCCGCAACGAGCGCAACCCCUAUGUUUAGUUGCCAGCAUUUAAGGUGGGGACUCUAAACAGACUGCCUAUGCAAAUAGAGAGGAAGGAGGGGACGACGUCAAGUCAUCAUGGCCCUUACGUCCGGGGCUACACACGUGCUACAAUGGAUGGUACAGAGGGCAGCUACCUGGCAACAGGAUGCCAAUCUCUUAAAGCCAUUCACAGUUCGGAUCGGGGUCUGCAACUCGACCCCGUGAAGUUGGAUUCGCUAGUAA